rnacentral:rRNA from 1 species
AACGCUAGCUACAGGCUUAACACAUGCAAGUCGAGGGGAAACGACAUCGAAAGCUUGCUUUUGAUGGGCGUCGACCGGCGCACGGGUGAGUAACGCGUAUCCAACCUGCCCAUCACUUGGGGAUAACCUUGCGAAAGUAAGACUAAUACCCAAUGACGUCUCUAGAAGACAUCUGAAAGGGAUUAAAGACUUAUCGGUGAUGGAUGGGGAUGCGUCUGAUUAGCUUGUUGGCGGGGUAACGGCCCACCAAGGCGACGAUCAGUAGGGGUUCUGAGAGGAAGGUCCCCCACAUUGGAACUGAGACACGGUCCAAACUCCUACGGGAGGCAGCAGUGAGGAAUAUUGGUCAAUGGGCGAGAGCCUGAACCAGCCAAGUAGCAUGCAGGAUGACGGCCCUAUGGGUUGUAAACUGCUUUUAUAAGGGAAUAAAGUGAGCCUCGUGAGGCUUUUUGCAUGUACCUUAUGAAUAAGGACCGGCUAAUUCCGUGCCAGCAGCCGCGGUAAUACGGAAGGUCCAGGCGUUAUCCGGAUUUAUUGGGUUUAGAGGGAGCGUAGGCCGGAGAUUAAGCGUGUUGUGAAAUGUAGGCGCUCAACGUCUGCACUGCAGCGCGAACUGGUUUUCUUGAGUACGCACAAAGUGGGCGGAAUUCGUGGUGUAGCGGUGAAAUGCUUAGAUAUCACGAAGAACUCCGAUUG